AUUGAACGCUGGCGGCAGGCUUAACACAUGCAAGUCGAGCGCGCCGGGGACGGGAGAGAAAUGUAUGGGACACUGCCUGAUGGAGGGGGAUAACUACUGGAAACGGUAGCUAAUCCCGCAUACCAUCAGAUGCUCCCCGAUGGGAUUAGCUAGUGGGUGGGGUAAUGGCUCACCUAGGCCAAGAUCCCUCGCUGGUCUGAGAGGAUGACCAGCCACACGGGAACUGAGACACGGUCCAGACUCCUACGGGGGGCAGCAGUGGGGAAUAUUGCACAAUGGGCGCAAUCCUGAUGCAGCCAUGCCGCGUGUGUGAAGAAGGCCUUCGGGUUGUAAAGCACUUUCAGCGAGGAGGCGUUACUCGCAGAAGAAGCACCGGCUAACUCCGUGCCAGCAGCCGCGGUAAUUC
rnacentral:rRNA from 1 species